AACGAACGCUGGCGGCAGGCUUAACACAUGCAAGUCGAACGGUCUCUUCGGAGGCAGUGGCAGACGGGUGAGUAACGCGUGGGAACAUACCUUUCGGUACGGAACAACAGUUGGAAACGACUGCUAAUACCGUAUACGCCCUAUGGGGGAAAGAUUUAUCGCCGAGAGAUUGGCCCGCGUCGGAUUAGCUAGUUGGUGGGGUAAUGGCCCACCAAGGCGACGAUCCGUAGCUGGUCUGAGAGGAUGAUCAGCCACACUGGGACUGAGACACGGCCCAGACUCCUACGGGAGGCAGCAGUGGGGAAUAUUGGACAAUGGGCGCAAGCCUGAUCCAGCCAUGCCGCGUGAGUGAUGAAGGCCCUAGGGUUGUAAAGCUCUUUCAGCGAGGAGGAUAAUGACGUUACUCGCAGAAGAAGCCCCGGCUAACUUCGUGCCAGCAGCCGCGGUAAUACGAAGGGGGCUAGCGUUGUUCGGAAUCACUGAGCGUAAAGCGCACGUAGGCGGACUUUUAAGUCAGGGGUGAAAUCCCGGGGCUCAACCUCGGAACUGCCUUUGAUACUGGAAGUCUUGAGUCCGAGAGAGGUGAGUGGAACUCCGAGUGUAGAGGUGAAAUUCGUAGAUAUUCGGAAGAACACCAGUGGCGAAGGCGGCUCACUGGCUCGGUACUGACGCUGAGGUGCGAAAGCGUGGGGAGCAAACA
rnacentral:rRNA from 1 species